AGUCGACGAUGAAUCUUCUAGCUUGCUAGAAGUGGAUUAGUGGCGCACGGGUGAGUAAUGCAUAGGUUAUGUGCCCUUUAGUCUGGGAUAGCCACUGGAAACGGUGAUUAAUACUGGAUACUCCCUACGGGGGAAAGUUUUUCGCUAAAGGAUCAGCCUAUGUCCUAUCAGCUUGUUGGUGAGGUAAUGGCUCACCAAGGCUAUGACGGGUAUCCGGCCUGAGAGGGUGAUCGGACACACUGGAACUGAGACACGGUCCAGACUCCUACGGGAGGCAGCAGUAGGGAAUAUUGCUCAAUGGGGGAAACCCUGAAGCAGCAACGCCGCGUGGAGGAUGAAGGUUUUAGGAUUGUAAACUCCUUUUGUUAGAGAAGAUUAUGACGGUAUCUAACGAAUAAGCACCGGCUAACUCCGUGCCAGCAGCCGCGGUAAUACGGAGGGUGCAAGCGUUACUCGGAAUCACUGGGCGUAAAGAGUGCGUAGGCGGGGUAAUAAGUCAGAUGUGAAAUCCUGUAGCUUAACUACAGAACUGCAUUUGAAACUGUUACUCUGGAGUGUGGGAGAGGUAGGUGGAAUUCUUGGUGUAGGGGUAAAAUCCGUAGAGAUCAAGAGGAAUACUCAUUGCGAAGGCGACCUGCUGGAACAUUACUGACGCUGAUGCACGAAAGCGUGGGGAGCAAACAGGAUUAGAUACCCUGGUAGUCCACGCCCUAAACGAUGGAUGCUAGUUGUUGCCUUGCUUGUCAGGGCAGUAAUGCAGCUAACGCAUUAAGCAUCCCGCCUGGGGAGUACGGUCGCAAGAUUAAAACUCAAAGGAAUAGACGGGGACCCGCACAAGCGGUGGAGCAUGUGGUUUAAUUCGAAGAUACGCGAAGAACCUUACCUAGGCUUGACAU
rnacentral:rRNA from 1 species